CUGCAAAUCGUGGAUUAGGGUUUAUCAUCGUGCUACUCACGUGGAUUACAACUCCGGGUGGGUUUUGUGCCGUGUUGAAUGCAAAAAUAUUAAAGGUUGAAUCUUUUUCAUGAUGCUUUUUAAUGUCAUUUGAUUUUUAAGGAGGAUUAGCUUUGAUUUACAUAAAAUAAUUUUUUUUAUAAUAGAUGAUUAUUUUUUUAUAUAGGCAUUGAGUUUGGGAGAACGACGGUACCAUAGCGAUUUCAUCAAUCCAACCAUAAUCCUAAUUAGUAAAUAAUUUGAAACUUGUGUAUGUUUUCUAUUUAUUCUUUUUAUUGAUCAAUUAUUUAUCAUCUUUUCCUUUCUUCAUCGCUUUCGAAAGGGUAAAGAAGGAGAUCAAGAAAGAAAGAAAAAAUAGAAAACAUGCACAUGCAUCAAAAUAUUCAAAGUUCAUGUUUGGAUUUCUGAAAUCACUCUAGUACCGUGAUUCUGUCAAAUAUACCUUCAAACUAAAUGAGAUUAAACCAAGUUCAACACUUCAAAUUGGAACAGAAGAGAAAAAAAAAUGAUGAAAGCAUAACACCUUAAAUGAAUACCCCAAUUGAUAAGAUGGUUGUUUUGUUGCACAACUUCUUGGUUGCACCAUGCGGUGCUUCUUCCUAAUGCUUAGUUCCUCACUUUCUCCUGUUGAUCCUUUUCUUCAUAAGCAACAAAUUGACUUCUUAUUUCUGUUUCAUUACAAAAUAAUGCAAAAAAUAAUAAAUUCUAUUUAUUUGUGAUAUAAAUUUAAUUAUAUGUACUUACACUAAGUGCAUCAAAAUUAAUAUGAUAAUAUAAAUGCAUAGAAACUAAUUUGAUAGGAUUUUGUUUUAAUAAAACAAAAAAGAGAGGAUACUUAAUUGUUGCGUUGAAAGAAAAGAAUCAAUAGGUAAAAGAGAAGAAGCUCACAUUAAUGCUGGUUUAAAUAGGCAGUGAGUUACCAUAGUGAUUUCAUCAAUCCAUCCAUAAACCUAAUUUGUAAAUAAUGUGGAACUUCUGUAUGUUUUGUAUUUAACUAUAGCAUGGACAGUCCAGUAUAAAGUACAUUAACUCAUCCCACAAUAAAAUUUGGCUCACAUCAUCUUAUAUGAAAAAAUUAUAUAAAACAAAAUAAAUAAAAUAUUUAUUUAACAGAUCAAAAUCCAUUGUACAAAAAAAAACACAUCGAAAUCCGUAAAGCAAGGUGAAGGAACCAAAAAAUAUAAAACAAAACAAAGCAGACUAACGAAAUACAUGACGGUAAAACCAAACCACAUGUAUGCCGUUUUGAAGAAGAAUCAAGAAGAAAAAAAAAAACAAAAGUAUACCUUCAAUGUAGUGAUGAACUAAUCUAUGUCGUGUUCACUGUCACCAACCACAUUGAUUUACAUGCCACCGUGAGAAUCACCUCCAUCUGAAUUGCAAACCAUCCGUGAUGCUUGAGUUGAAUGUGUGGAUGAGAAGAUGUUGUGGCAGCAGAAAAGAAGAGUUUGAUGAAAUUAUGAGACGAGGUUGAACCUAUUUAUAAGCUUGAGGCAAAUCAAACCUUAUAAUCAAGAGAGGAAAAAUUAUAGUAAAAAAAAGGUGAGAGGGUAGGUGAAUAUCAAAAUAAGGAAAAAAAAUUCAGAAAAGGCAUAAGGAUAAGGAUUGACGAUGAAAUUCAUGAAUAAUUGUCGCUAAAGAGGAAAAAAUCAAAAGAAGAAAAAAUUCAGAAAAAGAAAUAAUGAUUGAAUAGAAAUAAAGACUGAUAAGGUAAUUCAUUGAGUGUCGAGUGGAUGGGAUUGGAUGAAAUUUAAUUCAGAAGAUUAAAAUUAAAGGUAAUUUUUGGUAUCACAGGGUUAAUUUUUUGGUACCAUAAAAUUAGUAUUACAUAACCAGAAUGAACUAUAUUAGGCAUUUGGUAAGAAUCCAAUCCAAAAAAGGUAGGAUAAAUUUUGGUCACCAAAGGUUCCUCCAUUGGAAACGAACUUAAUUUAAACUUUAUUUUAGGGAAGUAACUUCUUAAUUAGUGUUUUUUUUUUGUAUCAAAAUAUGUAGGUAUUGCAGCAGCAGAAAAGUAGAGCUUGGUGAUGUUAUGAGAUGGAGUUGAACCUAUUUAUAAGCUUGAGGCGAACCAAACCCUAGAAUCAAGAAAAGUAAAAAAUUAUUGUAAAAAAAGCUAAUGGGUAGGUGAGAAUCGAUAGAAGGAAAAAAUUUAGAAAUGGAUAAGGAUUGAUGAGGUAAUUCAUGAACAAUUGGCAACUAGGAGGAAAAAUUGAAAAAAGGAAAAAAUCAAAAGGAAAAAUUCAGAAAAGGAAUUAGGAUUGAAAAAGAUUAUGGAUUGACGAGGUAAUUCAUUGAAUGCCGAGUGGGUGGGAUUGAAUGAAAUUUAAUUUAGAAUAUUUCUAGAAAAUCACAAAAUACAGUGUAAUUAUAUGUGUCGGUGUCGGACACGACACGUGUCUGACAUGGGGAUAUGCCUUAUCCAAGAAAUGUUUGUGCUUUAGGGACUUUACAAUUAGACAAAACUGUUCAAGGCUUUCUCUGGAUAUAUUAUCUUGAAUAUGAACAUUUCAUAUUGUAAGAACCAUUUUUAUUUCAUUAUUUUCUCUUUUAUAUGGGAACCGACUUAUAUGAACAUAUCGGGAGUGAUUAUGGUGCAUAAGGAAAUCCUUAUGCACCGUGCAUAAAUCCCAACAUAAUUGCUUUCUACACCCCCAAAGUGAGCCAAAACCAUUUUUGUUCAAAAUAAAAGAAAUCUGAUGGUUGUGAUGUGUUUAUGCACGGUACAUAAGGAAAUAACUUAUGCACCAUAACUUUUGCCGAACAUAUCAUCACAAUAUUGUAUGAACCAUUUUCAUUUACGUUUGAGCACAAUACUUAACCAUACAUAGUUAGAACACUUAUCAUUAUUGAUUUAGACUAUCAUUAACAUCAUGAAAUUCUUUGAACAUCUUUAGAAUCCUUUGAUUCUCAAGAUUUCAUCGACAUCAUUACUCAUUUUUUAUUUUAUUUUUUUAAAAUUCGUACUUAAUAAAACACUCAAUAUCUUUAAAAGUUACUUGUACAUAUAUAUAUUUAAAUUAGAUAGAUCCACCAAUAUCUUUAAAAAUUACUUGUACUCUCUUUAUUUUUUUUUUGUGAAAACGGUUGUUCAAAUAACAUUUCUCUAAACUAUUCAUGAAUGCAACAUCAAUGUGGCACUUCAAAAAUUUAAAUUGAUGUAGAACAGUAGAAGCAAUGAAAAAAUAAAGUUGAGACUUAUUAAAUUGAAUAUACAUUCACAACAAUACAAAAUUAAUUCUCUUGUUUUAAGAGGAAAAAAAAAAGUAAGGCUAUUGCAUGUUGCAUCAGUGCUUACUCUUGGUUAUGUAUGAUUGUUGCUUAAUUUCUGUUCCCAGCUCAACUAAUGACCUGUGACUAUCUUAUAACUUAUAUGUGACCACUGCUUAAACAUGCAUUAUAUUGUUUAUUUUGGCAGGAUAAAAAGUUGAAUUAUGUAAAAGGAUGCGAGAGGAUUUGAAGAAGAAAGACAAGGAAAAUAAAUUUGUAGAGCGUCAACAACUUGGAGCAAAAAUAAUCAAGCAGAAAACAAAAUGGAAGGCUGAUAAUAUGAUUGGAUGAAUAAGAACAAUAUAGUGGGAUAUUUUAUAGAGUACAUGUUACAUUGGAUGAACUUGUAAUCGUUUUAGUAUGUCAUUUAAAUUGUGUUGCAUAGUUCUAAUUGUGUUGCAUAAUUCAUUUUCAUUAUGCAAGAAUAAGAUCAGUGAAAGGGGGAAAUUAUAGAGUAUGUAAUUCAAACUUAUUAUAAAACUUGUAUUUAAUAUUGGUUAAUUCAAAUAUGAAUGAAGUCUAAGCAAAGACAAAUUUGGUAGAUUCAAAAAAAUUUAGUCUAGACAAUUUUGCGACACUUUUUACAACUUAUCAAAAAUAGUAAAUGUAACACUUUUUUUUUAUUGUUACCAGUGAUACAAAAAGUGUUACAAUAGUGUAACAUUGCGACACUUUUUAAUUGUUACAGAUAAUACUAUAAAAUGUAACUAAAACACUUUAGUAACACGGGCUUAACCUAACAAUUGUUCGAAUGUUACUAAAUUUAAUUAGUAACAUUUUUCUUGAUUUAAUUACAAAUUUCAAGUGUAUAAAUGUCAUUAUUGCAGUAGUGGCAAUCCUAAUCUAUGUCAUAAUACAAAAUUGAAUCUCAAUCCUAAUCUAUUUUUUACAUACACCUAGCUUCAGCGAAAUUUAAUACGCUUCAUCAAAGCUGAUAAAAACUGAUUUGAAAGUUGUAUAGUAGCUUAUAGUCGUUUACUGUGAACUCUUUAUAUUCAGAAAUAUUCAUUGAUCAACAACUUAUGUGCUACUUUCGAUUCUAUAUGCUUCUUCAGAUCCCUGCAAAAUCGACAUAAAUAUAAAAUGAAUAAGUAUUUCUGACUAGUUUAGCCAAAAAUAUGACUCUGCUGUGAAGUGAAUAACUAUACUUACACAUAGUUUAGCCAAUGAACAAAAUGACACCGUUGUAUGCAAUUCACAUUUUGAGUCUUUGCAAUUCCUAGAGUGAGCAGUUGGUACCUUUUAACAAUGCUGGCAGCCCCGACUUACUCGAAUUUUUCAUUUACUAGCAUGAGAGAACAACUUCUUGAUUUGAGAACAGUAUGGAUGAGAGUAUGGUUCAGCCUUAGUUGCGCGGCAUUGAGAUGCAUUCUUCAAAACGGUCAGCAAGUAAGAAGGAAUAUAAAAUUUAGGCUUAAAUAUGCUUUUCUAUCCCUGCAAUUAUAGGCCGUUUGAUUUUUCAUCCUGAGCUUACUAAUCCUCCUAUUUUGCCCCUGUAAAAGUUAAUCAUUUGAAAGUUCGUCCCUCUUCCCGGUUAAUCACUGCCACGUCAUCAAAUUAGCAAAAUGGCAUGGGAAUUGACAAAAAUACCCCUGACUUAAUUUUAAAAAUCUGAAAAUAAUUUUAAAAAAUUAAAAAAAUAUAAUUUUUUGAAAUAUAAAAAAAAAAAAAAUUAUAUAAUUUUUUAAAAUCUGAAUAUAUAAUUUCGAAAAUUAUUAAAAAAUCUGAUUUUUUUAAAAAUCAUAAUAAUAAUUUCGAAAAAAUUUACGAUUAUAUAAUUUUAAAAAAUAUAUUUUUUGAAAUAUGAAAAAAAAUGAAAAAUUAUAUAUUUUUUUUAAAAUCAGAAUAUAUAAUUUUGAAAAUUAUUAAAAAAUCUGAUUUUUUUUUAAAGAUUUUUUAAAAAAUCAGAAUAUUAAUUUCGAAAAAAUCUGAUUAUAUAUUUUUUAAAAUUAUGUGAAAAAUUAUUUCAUUUUUUUUCGAAAAAGUUAUUUUCAAAAUAUUUUUAGAAUUUUUUUAUUUUUUAAAAUUAUUUUCAAAUUUUUUAAUUUAUAAAAACAAUUUUCAGAAUUUUAAAAAUAAGCCAGGGGUAUUUUUGUCAAUUCCCAUGCCAUUUUGCUAAUUUGAUGACGUGGCAGUGAUUAUUCGGGAAGAGGGACGAACUUUCAAAUGAUUAGUAAUUACAGGGGCAAAAUGGAUGGAUUAGUAAGUUCAGGGAUGAAAAAUCAAACGGCCUAUAAUUACAGGGAUGAAAAGCAUAUUUAAGCCUAAAAUUUAUAGAAGUGAAAUUUGAACAACAAUCCGUAACAGACAGUUAAUGAAAACUAUAAAGCUCGAGAGAUAACUAAGUUCUUACCAGCACUGGUUUCUGAUUUAACUCGUCUUGAUUCAACCUUGUUUUGAUGGCAAUCAGCAUCUCACCGGAAUAAAUUCAUUUUAGAAUUUUAAAGCAAUAAAUUCAUUUUAUUGAAUAAUUUAUUAAAUAAAAACACAAACUCAAUUCAAAUUACAAAAUUACACGUGACUGGAAUACACAUUAUAUAAGAACUGUUCCAUCUCUCUAUCCGUGUCUCCACCUCUCUACCCUUUUCUCUCAUUUUGGUUCUUGUGCAACCAUGUGUCCAAUUACACGCAUGAUUGCACAAGAACCAAAAUGAGAGAAAAGAGUAGAGAGGUGGAGACACAGAUAGAGAGAGAUGGAACAGUUCUUAUAUAAUGUGUAUUCCAGUGACGUGUAAUUUUGUAAUAUGAAUUGAGUUUCUGUUUUUAUUUAAUAAAUUAUUCAAUAAAAUAAAUUUAUUGUUUGAGAUAACAUAUCGAAAUCCAUAGAGCAAGGUGAAGGAACAAAAAAAUAUGAAACAAAGCAAAGCAGACCAACAAAAUAGAUGACGGUAAAACCAAGCCACAAGUAUGCCGUUUUGAAGAAGAAUCAAGAAUAAAAAAUAACAAAGUUUACCUUGAGUGUAGUGAUGAACUCUUCUAUCUCGUGUUCACUAUCACCAACAACAUUGAUUUACAUGCACCCGUGAGAAUCACCUCCAUCUGAAUUGCAAACCAUUUGUGAUGUUUGAGUUGAAGGUGUUGAUGAGAAGAUGUUGCGGCAACAGAAAAGAAGAGUUUGAUGAUAUUAUGAGAUGGGGUUGAACCUAUUUAUAAGCUUGAGGCAAAUCAAACCCUAAAAUCAAGAGAGGAAAAAUUAUAGUAAAAUAAAGU
rnacentral:lncRNA from 1 species